UAGUGGCAAUUAUGGCUGCUGAUUUGAAAGGAAGCUGAACAUACUGGCUUUCAUCAGGUCAGCUUUGCUUGGCCACAUGCAACUUUCCACUUAGGAAAAUGAGGGCUAAAUUCUUGGUCCAGGCAGGCUCUUUCAAGGUGUUGUGUUUCUGUUCUCAAUGAAACAAGACAACUCCGUGAAGCCGGGGGCUGUCCGCACUAUCACUGAACUUGGUACCAUGAGAAAGCAUUGCCAACCUCUCCGUUGAAUCUUCAGUCCCAGAGUAGAUGCAGUGGAAUGAAGCCAUAUGGGAGGAUUUUGUUCUAAUGUCAACAUGGAAGGUGAGAAUCUAUUAUAUUUUAAAUUCUGCCCUUAA
rnacentral:lncRNA from 1 species